rnacentral:lncRNA from 1 species
GCGUGGCCCAGAGCAUGGCCAGGGCGUGGUCUUCUGUGGCGCCUAUAAAUUUGGGGGACUGCACUGAGCAGCACUAGUCUGUCCUUGAAGCUAGUCAGAGGAAGACCGAACUGUUGAUCUGAUAGGUGUGCCUUGCUUUAGACAGUCAAAAUGAGUGAUAAGCCAGACUUGUCGGAAGUGGAAAGAUUUGAUAGAUCCAAACUGAAGAAGACCAUCACUGAAGAGAAGAAUACUCUUCCGUCAAAGGAAAACAUCCAGCAAGAGAAGGAGAUGGUGAAACGAUCAUAAAAUGGCAAUCUCUUUCAAAGAAUAAACAUCAACACUGGCAAA